UAUUGAGAAAAAUCAUGGAAAGAAAUCUAAAUAUCUUGCAUGUAUAGAUCUUAAUCAUUAUCGAGCACUAAAAGAAUUUGCAAUUUGGUUGUCAAGAUAUGAAUGUAGCUUGUAAAUUGGAAAAAAAAAAUUAAAAAAAAAAAUCAUGAAAUGAUGUUACUUGGGACUGCUGAGGAAAAAUACUAUCAUGCUAAUGGACCUAGUAUAAACGCCAUUCAUUCUCUAUGCAACAUUGCAGUGUAGUUGAAGGAACCAAGGUAGCAAACACCAAUCAUAUGCACUUUAGUCACAAUGAAUUAGGGGCUCCUUUUGUGCGUUGGAAAAUUUCCACCUUACAUAUACAUUUUGUGCUAAAGAAUAUUAGACUCUUUGGAUUGCCCAUAAGACCAUAAAUUUCUGUUAAGGUGAAGUUGAUUACCCAGGAAGUUUUUUGUCUAUGCAGUAGGCUUAUUGUAUUGAAUAAUGAAUUGCCUGAAGCUGUAUAGACUGAAGUUCAUUUUGUAAAUCUAAUUCUGGUUGGAUCUGGUCAACUAAAAAUGCUAAGAUGAGAUUUGUUGUAAAAGUAAACUUGCCUCUGAAAUUCACUGCCUGUAACUCUAAUUCGUGAUGUAAAUACACUUCUUUUUUGUGCUUUCCAAUUUAUUAUUAGGUAAUGCCUUCGCUCAUAUAGUGUUGCUUUGAUAGACGAACUUAUUACUGAUAAGAGGCUAUUUUUUCAGUACCUUUGGGGCAUUGAAUCCUAUUAAGGCAUGUAGAGUUCAAUAAGAUUUACUCUUGUGAUAGAUUGUCAUAGGAUGUUGUAAGAAUUUUUGUCAAAAACCUAUGUACUUAUUGCAAUGAUGUAGCAUUAGACCAGUCCAUAUUUCUCAUAAUCAUGUGCUUGAAUGUUUUGAUAUUGAGCCUUUUGAUUUAUAUGCGAGUUGUGAAACAAUUUAUUGUGGAUAUGCAGUGGUUUUGCAUAUAAGAUGGUAGGUUUACAAAAACUUUCCAUUUUUUUUUCUUCUUAAGUGUGAUUGUCAAGUCUACAAUUGAUCAUUAUCAUCUGAUAGUGUUUAACCUUAUUGCCUUUGAGUACUCCCUCAGCUAUCCUUUUUUUCUGGAAAGGACUUUUUCAAGUAAUCAUAGGAUCCUGUAGUCGGUUUAGGCAAAAAUAUUUAUACUUUCUACUUUUAUGUUGAAAUAAUAUAGGAAAAUUGAUUGUGUUGUAGGGAUCAAACACCUUUUCCCAUGGCAAUAGCAUUGGCUUGUAGAAAUUAAAGCUUUUUAAUUGCCGAAUGCUGAGAAAAGACUAGACUAGCAUUUAUAAUAUAUGUGAUUUCUUCAUUAGCUAGAUUCCAUUAUGUUGUUUAUGCAAUAUGGUUUCUGGUGGCCAAAUUAGCAACCCAGAUGAUCUUAAAUCAGCUUUGGAUUACAACACUACUACCAUGAUAUUUAAAAACACUGGUCUUGUUCUCAA
rnacentral:misc_RNA from 1 species